CUUUAACAUAGAAAUCACUUUUAUUAGAGGGAUUUACUUACAGAAUUUCAAGUGCUUAUUUUUACUUUACAAUGAAAACGUAAAUAUAUUACAGAACAUUCCCUUUAACAGUUUAAUAGUUUAGAAAAGAAAACCUCAGGUUUAUGUUAAUUUGUGGGAUUUAAUCUGUGUCAUGUAGAAACAUUCUCAUUAUAUGUUGCAUUCCACUUUUCAUUACUUGUUAAAGGGACUCUCCAGGCAGAGUAGUUUACUCACCUGGUUCCAGCGCCGGGAGCCUCGUGAAGUCGCGCCCCCUAUUUCGUCAAAAUGACGAAAUAGGCGGGCGCGAGCAGGGAGCAAUCAGACGCUUCCAUUUGGAAGCAUCAUUGCUCCCUUGUGCACAUACGUGGCUUCGCCGCACAUGCGCACAUACUUCAUAGGGCGGCAUUCAGAGGUAUUCCUAUCAAAAAUACAGUGUUUACAUUAGAUUGCCUGCAGGGAGCUAUUGAUCUCACCUGAACAAAUACAUUAAGCUGUAGUUGUUCAGGUGACUAUAGUGUCCCUUUAAGUAUCCUUCUGAUAGAAGCUGCCAUUAUUCAUUGUGUUCCUUGACUCAUUUCGCAUUCUUUUUAUGCUGUUGUGUAGUACAUGAAAAUGGCUGCCUACAUCAUGCCUCAGGAUGGAAAUCAAUGAAAUACCAAGCAUAUACAUUGAAUUUAUAUUCUUGUUAUUUAAUUGAAAUAAAGGAAAACUAACGUGUCAGGAAUGCAAACCUGUCUAUAGUGCCAUAUUUGCAGGUUUGUGUUAGAUACCAUCCCCACGUUUAUCCUAAAAAUCAUUAAAAAAUAUUUUUACGUUUCUUUACUCAAGAGCUGGGACUCCAUUGGCGCUACCAGCUGCUCUUCCUCCCACAACGUCGUCCAGCUGUCAAGACUAUGGCCAAUCAAAUGCUCAUCGUAAAGGCGUAUUAGAAACUGAUGUGCAUGCGUGAUGAGUUUCGCCCUUGUAUCCAAAAUCUUUACACAGGAAAGCAUUGAAUUCAGUGCUUUCCUAAGAGCUCCUAUGUCAUGUGACUGAGUUUAACUCGAUCAGCUACCAAAGGUGGAUUUAACCCAUGCAAGUUUCUAAAGAAUUUCUAUGAUUUACAGUGCAGGGUUAAAGACCACUGUAACCAGACCAUACGCCCCCUCAAUUAUUUUAUCCCAUAGGGAUGGUGCUGCCAGUUGCUAGUUUUAAACAUUUCAGAGAUAUGUUUAAAACCUCCCUUACAUUAUUAUGGGAGUCUCAUUGACCCCCAUAGGCCUUUUAAUGUAUUAAAC